rnacentral:rRNA from 1 species
UACGUAGGUGGCAAGCGUUGUCCGGAUUUACUGGGCGUAAAGCGCGCGCAGGCGGCUGGUCAAGUCCGAUGUGAAAGCUCCCGGCUUAACUGGGAAACGGCAUCGGAAACUGAUCGGCUUGAAGGUGGGAGAGGGUAGUGGAAUUCCCGGUGUAGUGGUGAAGUGCGUAGAUAUCGGGAAGAACACCCAUGGCGAAGGCAGCUCUCUGGGACGGUACUGACGCUGAGACGCGAAAGCGUGGGGAGCGAACAGG